GCUCCUGGCAGUGCCAUGGGGCUGGGGGUGUCCGUCUGGCAGACGCGCAGGUCACUGGAUUACUGCAGGGGGCUCUCUUCUUCCGCAGCCUGGCAUCCCGGCAGCACCUGGGACUUUGGCUCCAGUUCUUAGGCAGCUUUUGUCCCCUGGAGAAGGUCGGCAGCAAGGAGCCAUCUCUGGCUGGCUCCUGUGUGCCGGCGCAGGCGGGUGGCCAGUCGCUGGUGUGAUGCCUACGUAGCACCGCACCACGGAGAUGGGGCACAGGAUUCCCGAGAGGACAGGGAGUGGAGCGGCGUUGGAUGGUGAGAGGCUUUCUCUGCUCAUCCAGCUAAUAGACUAAUUAGUGAGGAGCUCGAAACUUGGCUGUGUUUGUUGUCAAAUGCAGGCCCCUUUCCAAGUGGUGUUAACAGCCUUCCCUUUUCACUCCGCGCACAUUGUACAGCCAGGGCUUUUCUGCUGCUCGACAGAGGAUUCUUCUUUUGGUGACCCAGGGCAGAAGGCAACCAAGUGGACUUUGACUCCAGGCUAG
rnacentral:lncRNA from 1 species